GAAUAGUUUACAAUUUGGUAUUUGUUCACUAUUUGAGUGUCCAAAGAUUAACAGUCGCACUUUGCGACACUGACAGCCAAUAAAAUUUAGGCGAAUGGACCAAUUAACGUUCUACAAGAGAGAGAAAGAAAGAGAGAGAAGAAUAUCUCGUUUAUAUUUUUCAGAAACCAACAUUUGUCAUUGUCGCAUCGUGAAUAGAAGAAGUAGACUAUAACGACUUGGAUCACAAUUUGGCGAUUAAUACAGCAUCGCGAUAUUGAUUGAAUAAAAUCGCAUAGAAAGGUUGGAUAAAAAGAACUACGUUCCGAAUUUUAUUGAACUUUAGGUAAAAAAUCCCUAAACAAGUAUUUAUGAUGCAUUUUACUAUAAGAUUAAUGCAAAUCUUAAGGCAAACGUUUGGUUGGUUAUAUUCGUUCAUAGCUAGUAUUGCUAGUAUUAAAGCUGAUAUUGCUUUUAUCCUAUUUAUAUCAGUCUUUAUGGUAUUAGUACCAAUUAAGGCGACACAUAUUAAAACCGAUACAAAAAAAUACAUUCAGAAUAUUGAAUCGGAAGAUGAUAUAGAAGAUAUAGAAUAUGCCGCGCAAUCUGCAAUAGAUAUAGAUAUUUCAAUCUUGGAACAGAAUAAUCGUCUAUUCAUUCGAACAGGGUUUAUGAUUGUGUUCUUAAUACUUCUUCCCUGUGUGCUUGGGUAAACCAAUAUUUAAUAUUUUAACAUACACAAUUAAUUUAUAUAUAAAUAAUUCAUAAUCAAUUAAGACUUCACUUAUGAGAAACUUAAAUUAUGG